GACGAACGCUGGCGGCGUGCCUAAUACAUGCAAGUAGAACGCUGAAGAGAGGAGCUUGCUCUUCUUGGAUGAGUUGCGAACGGGUGAGUAACGCGUAGGUAACCUGCCUUGUAGCGGGGGAUAACUAUUGGAAACGAUAGCUAAUACCGCAUAACAAUGGAUGACCCAUGUCAUUUAUUUGAAAGGGGCAAAUGCUCCACUACAAGAUGGACCUGCGUUGUAUUAGCUAGUAGGUGAGGUAACGGCUCACCUAGGCGACGAUACAUAGCCGACCUGAGAGGGUGAUCGGCCACACUGGGACUGAGACACGGCCCAGACUCCUACGGGAGGCAGCAGUAGGGAAUCGUCGGCAAUGGGGGCAACCCUGACCGAGCAACGCCGCGUGAGUGAAGAAGGUUGUCGGAUCGUAAAGCUCUGUUGUAAGUCAAGAACGAGUGUGAGAGUGGAAAGUUCACACUGUGACGGUAGCUUACCAGAAAGGGACGGCUAACUACGUG
rnacentral:rRNA from 1 species